rnacentral:rRNA from 1 species
ACAUGCCUACAACAUAGCGUUAAUGCACUCGAUCCCAUUAGAACUCUGCAAUUAAGUGUGCUCAUGCUAGAGUAGUAUUGGGAUGGGUGAUCGCCUGGGAAGUCCUAGUGUUUUACAUGCC